UGGGGAAUUUGGACAAUGGCGAAAGCCUGAUCCAGCAAUGCCGCGUGUGUGAAGAAGGCCUUCGGGUUGUAAAGCACUUUUGUCCGGAAAGAAAUCCUUGGCUCUAAUACAGUCGGGGGAUGACGGUACCGGAAGAAUAAGCACCGGCUAACUACGUGCCAGCAGCCGCGGUAAUACGUAGGGUGCAAGCGUUAAUCGGAAUUACUGGGCGUAAAGCGUGCGCAGGCGGUUUGCUAAGACCGAUGUGAAAUCCCCGGGCUAACCUGGGAACUGCAUUGGUGACUGGCAGGCUAGAGUAUGGCAGAGGGGGGUAGAAUUCCACGUGUAGCAGUGAAAUGCGUAGAGAUGUGAGGAAUACGAUGGCGAAGGCAGCCCCCUGGGCCAAUACUGACGCUCAUGCACGAAAAGCGUGGGGAGC
rnacentral:rRNA from 1 species